UACGGAGGGUGCAAGCGUUAGUCGGAAUUACUGGGCGUAAAGGGCGCGUAGGCGGGAAUGUAAGUCAGAUGUGAAAUACCGAAGCUCAAAUUCGGCUGUGCAUCUGAAACUGCGUUUCUAGAGGGAGAGCGGAGAAAACGGAAUUCCACGUGUAGCGGUGAAAUGCGUAGAUAUGUGGAAGAACACCUGUGGCGAAAGCGGUUUUCUAGCUUAUUCCUGACGCUGAGGCGCGAAAGCAAGGGGAGCAAACAGG
rnacentral:rRNA from 1 species